ACCAUUUUAGGUGUCUGGUUCGAUCAAACAGAAGGAGGAGGGCGACCCCCACUCUCAAAACCCUAGCAACUCACUAAUCUCACAAAUUGAAGGCUCAAACCAAGUUAAAAUCGAAAAUCGAGCAUAGAUUAUUGAUCCCCAUUGCAAGGGGGUUGUAAGUUUGACUCUGACAAGCUAGGUAGGAGCUUGGAAAUGAACGGGUCAAAUGGAUACAAGUUCAAGUAUGAAGCUCGCAAGGAUGCAAGGAGUAGAUAUCCAAUGGAUACUCGCAUCGCUCUUAAUUAGCAAUUAUAAAGCAAGGUAUUAAACCGGGUUAGUAAGUUGAUCCGAGCCAGGUAUGUAUAAUAGAUUAACUCAUCAUGUAGAACUUGAAGUUCUAUGAAAGUUAGGCAAAAUAAAAAAA